AGUGAACGCUGGCGGCAGGCCUAACACAUGCAAGUCGAACGGCAGCACAGUAAGAGCUUGCUCUUACGGGUGGCGAGUGGCGGACGGGUGAGGAAUAUAUCGGAAUCUACUUUUUCGUGGGGGAUAACGUAGGGAAACUUACGCUAAUACCGCAUACGACCUACGGGUGAAAGCAGGGGAUCUUCGGACCUUGCGCGAUUGAAUGAGCCGAUGUCGGAUUAGCUAGUUGGCGGGGUAAAGGCCCACCAAGGCGACGAUCCGUAGCUGGUCUGAGAGGAUGAUCAGCCACACUGGAACUGAGACACGGUCCAGACUCCUACGGGAGGCAGCAGUGGGGAAUAUUGGACAAUGGGCGCAAGCCUGAUCCAGCCAUACCGCGUGGGUGAAGAAGGCCUUCGGGUUGUAAAGCCCUUUUGUUGGGAAAGAAAAGCAGCAGGUUAAUACCCCGCUGUUCUGACGGUACCGAAAGAAUAAGCACCGGCUAACUACGUG
rnacentral:rRNA from 1 species